ensembl:snoRNA LOC120102077 small nucleolar RNA SNORA17
AGGGCAGGUGCUGCAGAUGUGGCUGUGUGUCAUGUGCAGAGAGGAAAGGCUAUGCCUGACCUCCCUGUUCUGACCUGUGAAUAUCUGAAUGAAUAGUAGCUUAACAUU